rnacentral:rRNA from 1 species
UACGUAGGGACCAAGCGUUGUUCGGCUUUACUGGGCGUAAAGGGCGCGUAGGCGGCGCGGUAAGUCACUUGUGAAAUCUCUGAGCUUAACUCAGAACGGCCAAGUGAUACUGCAGUGCUAGAGUGUGGAAGGGGCAAUCGGAAUUCUUGGUGUAGCGGUGAAAUGCGUAGAUAUCAAGAGGAACACCUGAGGUGAAGACGGGUUGCUGGGCCAACACUGACGCUGAGGCGCGAAAGCCAGGGGAGCAAACGGG